rnacentral:rRNA from 1 species
GACGAACCGUGCGAACGUUAUUCGGAAUUACUGGGCUUAAAGCGCGUGUAGGCGGGCCGGCACGUCGGUCGCUGAAAGCCCCCGGCUCAACCGGGGAAGCGGCGCCGAUACGACCGGCCUGGAGGGGGGUAGGGGGACCUGGAACUUCCGGUGGAGCGGUGAAAUGCAUUGAGAUCGGAAAGAACACCAACGGCGAAAGCACUCUGCUGGGCCGACACUGACACUGAGAGACGAAAGCUAGGGGAGCAAAUGGG